GCUCCUGUGGCCUAGUGGCUAGAGCGUCCGCCUCGGAUGUGGUAGGUCGCGGGUUCAAACCCCGGCCGAGACA